rnacentral:rRNA from 1 species
CGGCAGCGGGGGAGAAGCUUGCUUCUCCUGCCGGCGAGUGGCGAACGGGUGAGUAAUACAUCGGAACGUGCCCUGUAGUGGGGGAUAACUAGUCGAAAGAUUAGCUAAUACCGCAUACGACCUGAGGGUGAAAGUGGGGGACCGCAAGGCCUCAUGCUAUAGGAGCGGCCGAUGUCUGAUUAGCUAGUUGGUGGGGUAAAGGCCCACCAAGGCGACGAUCAGUAGCUGGUCUGAGAGGACGAUCAGCCACACUGGGACUGAGACACGGCCCAGACUCCUACGGGAGGCAGCAGUGGGGAAUUUUGGACAAUGGGCGAAAGCCUGAUCCAGCAAUGCCGCGUGUGUGAAGAAGGCCUUCGGGUUGUAAAGCACUUUUGUCCGGAAAGAAAUGGCUCUGGUUAAUACCUGGGGUCGAUGACGGUACCGGAAGAAUAAGGACCGGCUAACUACGUGCCAGCAGCCGCGGUAAUACGUAGGGUCCAAGCGUUAAUCGGAAUUACUGGGCGUAAAGCGUGCGCAGGCGGUUGUGCAAGACCGAUGUGAAAUCCCCGAGCUUAACUUGGGAAUUGCAUUGGUGACUGCACGGCUAGAGUGUGUCAGAGGGGGGUAGAAUUCCACGUGUAGCAGUGAAAUGCGUAGAGAUGUGGAGGAAUACCGAUGGCGAAGGCAGCCCCCUGGGAUAACACUGACGCUCAUGCACGAAAGCGUGGGGAGCAAACAGGAUUAGAUACCCUGGUAGUCCACGCCCUAAACGAUGUCAACUAGUUGUUGGGGAUUCAUUUCCUUAGUAACGUAGCUACGCGUGAAGUUGACCGCCUGGGGAGUACGGUCGCAAGAUUAAAACUCAAAGGAAUUGACGGGGACCCGCACAAGCGGUGGAUGAUUGUGGAUUAAUUCGAUGCAACGCGGAAAACCUUACCUACCCUUGACAUGCCACUAACGAA